GCGCCCUCCUUGGCAGCACAUAUACUGAAGCUAUUAAGCAUACGGAGGAGAUCAGAACGGCCCCUGGACAAGGGUGACAUGCACUUUCAUGAAGCAUCUCCUCCUCUU
ensembl:snRNA U6 U6 spliceosomal RNA